CCCACUACCAUCAUCCACGUACCACGAGGAAGAUGAGGGAGAGAAAUGAUCCUACCAUUAAAGAGGAAGGACUGAUGCAUGUACUGAGACGGGACGUGAGGGCCUACUCUGCGUGCUCAGAGUUCAAGCCCAGCAGGCUGCAGCGGGCCUGACAUAUUCCGGAACAGCAGCACAGUUUUUGGAUGACUCCUCUGAAGAUGAAAACAUGGCGAGUUCUUCUCAAGAGAAGCAGUACAGGUGUGCCUCAGCUCCACGGUCCCUUCUGCAGCCUCCGCUCCUGAUGCUAACCUCAUGUCUCCAUCACACCAAGCAGCAGACCUGGAGUGACAGACCUUUCUCCAGAGCUGCCCCCUCCCUCUGAAACCCCCCUCUCCAAAACACUAUUUGUGGCGUUUUUUAAAGUCUUAUUUGCAUGAGAAUUGUUGAUCAUAACAUUUCCAGCAGAUGCCUUAAUGUAAUG